UUCAAACAAAAGACUUUAAUAGUCAAAAUUCCAACUCAUUAUUCCAAGGGGGGCAAAAACACAGCCGGGAACUAGGAACACUCAGGCUUGAACAUUCAACAAUGACGCGACAAGUGACAAGAGACACACAUGGCUUAAAUACACCGGGAAGGUGCAGGUGAUUGGACACAGGUGGAAACAAUCAUGACACGACAGACAAUCACAGGGGAUGACAGGACAAGGCAGGAAGUGAAGUUAACCCAGGGGCACCAGAGGCAUGAAACUACAAAAAAAAAUGCCUGAACCCAAAUUGUGACAGAACCCCCCCCCCUCAUGGGCCAAAUUCCAGAUGGUGCUAAAGGGCAGGCGGAACCAGUAGAGAGCAGACAAGGGGCGGGAGGGAGGGGACCAGGAGACGAGGGUCGGGCCAUCCAGGGAACUCCGGCGGGCGGCCCGGCGAACGGCCAGUUGGCCGGGGAGCCUAUGGGGGUCGGCCCGGAGGUCGGUCAGUUUGCCGGAGUCGCCGGCUGCAGGACACGGGAAGCCGAGGGCGCCGGCUGCAGAACACGGGAAGCCGGAGGCGCCGGCUGCGGGACACGGGAAUCUGGGCACAGUGGCGCCGGGGGCAGGAGUCGUGGAGCUGGAUCAGGAGGUUGCUGCAGCCCAGCGCAGAAGGAGGUGCACUGCGGCCCAGCGGGGUCGGGAGGUCGCAGCGGCCCGCGCACGGAAGGUGGUGUGCUGCGGCCCAGUGUGGAGAGAGUAGGUGGCCUGGAGUUUGGCAGCGAGCUCCAUCACCCGCUCCCAGUGCGAUCUGACACGUAUAAAUACAAAUAUUUCACAUUGUUUCAUUAGCAUAUACAUCAGCAUUAGAAGCGAUUCAACCUGCUUCCUUACAACUGAAGGGCGUUGCACUCAGCGAUCUGUAUCCAAUGAAACGGUGAUGAUAUCUCGCUGCUUUGGCUGACUGGCCUCUGCUGCGUCCCUCCACUGAAAACCUCCAUCCUACUCUAACCACAUCCAUCCAGAUUAAAAGACCGCUGUU
ensembl:lncRNA